CCGAAAAGCCCAUUGGUCGCCCAAACCCCAUAGCCGCACGCCCGCACCUCCCUCACUCGUUUCAGCCGCACGAACCCUAGCCGCCGCCCCGCUCGCAUUCGUCCUCCAUCCCUGGUACGAGCUCCUCCUCCUCUGUCUAUGUCUGCCCUGAGCUCCUCCUCCUCCGUCCUCACGUGCUCCACCCCGAGCCCUGCCUCUUCCACCCCACCCGGACUUCGCCUCGUCUGUUCGCUCGCCAGUUCAAAGGGCAGGGCCAGAGAGCCGUGGCGAGUCCUCGGGAGAGGAGAUGAAGGCAAAAGCGGAGCAGAGGAAACCAAGAAGGCGAGGGGCGAAGGAGGGAUGGGACAAGGCCAUGAAGAGCAUGGUGGACGAGAUCGCGUUGCUGUCGACGCGGGUGGGUCCAUGGGAUGGCGAUGUGUGGCGCCGGUGGCUCAAGGAGGAGUAUCGCACCCUCAUCGCCUACACCUAGGUGAACAAGGCCAAGGACAACCACUUGUUCCACAUCUCCGCCGCCAACCAUAGGGUACCCACUGGGAGGGCACCUGCUGGUCGCGCCCGAGAUCGAGCUCUGCACGCUCGAUUCAAGUCCCACAAGGUGUACCACGAAGGGAAGAUCUGCCUCACUAUGCACUUCAGCCAUGCACACUAGCGAUGGUACAUGAUUGGCUUCCUGGUGGAAUCAGAACUUUCUGAAUCCGACGCUGUCAAUCGGGCCGCAGAGAGGAAGUGUGGUGGAGAUGAGAUGGGGACAGACGAUCAUGCAGCGAUGUUGUUUCUUUGUUCUCCUGCUCAAGGUUUGCUAUCGAGCUCUCAAAAAGGAAAAACAACUUUACUCUGUUUUCUGGAUAACCUUCCCGUAGAGUCACUACCUCGACAGAGACAAAUAUGCGAUCAAGGAUAUAUUCGAUGGAUUUUCAAGCAAAACUUGGAGGAUAUUUUUGCAGAUAGUUUGGUGCUCUCAUGGUUAUUUUGUAGAGAUUGCCCCUCUGUUCAUUUCUUGGUAACCAUCUACUGCAGCUCAGCUACUGUCCAGCAGCUGACCUUAUGGUGUGUGAUUGACGGUGCAUGUUUUCCUAUUAGUUUCUCUGUAUGCCAAUGUCUGAAUUUUAUCUUGCCUUUUUGCAUUUCUCAAGGCCUUCCAUUCUCACUGUGAUUCACCGAGAUGUUCUAUCAGUAGGCAUGCACUUUCUAAUAAAAAUUUGGCAGUCUACUUGAAGCGAGUCAUUUAUCUAGCUACAAUAACCUUCCUUGCUUUUGCAAUAACACUUUAUGGUUGGCACUAUAGUCUAUAUCUGCCAAAUAUUUACACGUUAGUUUAGCCAGAAAUUCAGAUGCCACACGUUAGUGAUGGUUUGUUAUUCUUCUAUCAUUCCAUGUUGGUUAGCCAUGAUAAAUUUGAUUUCUAGAGUAGCAGAUGAUUCAUGUCAGGUUUCUUUUAGAUAUCGAAAUAUGUGUUGACUCUGAAAUAAGUAGUACGCCGUCCAGUUCUACAUAGGUGAAAGCAUACUGAUCCCAUUUACAUACUAUGCAAAACUGGACGGCCUUCUAAAUCUCUGAAACUACUAUUUGUUGUGUAAUCUGUAUCACCUUUUCAUACUCUGUAUAUGCUUUCUACUUGCUCCCUCCGUCUGAAAAAACUUGUCCCUCAAAUACAUGUAUCUAGCACCAAGUAAGUGCUAGAUACAUCCAUUUGAAAGAUAAGCUUGAGACAAGUUUUUCCGGACGGAGGGAGUACUUGGUAAAAGUGCGUGAGAACGAUGGCCUAAAGGAUGUGAAUUGCACUCGAAUAUAUGCAGGUUUCAUGCCAAACUAGCCACUAUUGUAUUUCAGAUGCUUCUUCUGUAACUUAAUAUAUUUUGCCGGCUCUUCUCAUUUCCCGGUGAACUUUUUAGUCUGUACAGUUGAAUUGUUGGAAGUUGUUUUCUACUAUCUAUAGAGGUUUUAUUAUCCAAACUAUUAGCUGCCUGACUCGCUUUUUUGAAACGAAGUGUUCCUAGGAUUGCCUUUUUACAUAUGGUUAUGCUCCAUAUGGCUACCUAUGUACAUAUGCGAAGGUUCUGUUUGGACUACUCAAAUCGCGUGGAGCUGUUAAAUUUCCAAUUUGUUGCCUUGCCGUUGUGUGCCAUCGCAAUGUUUACUGCAGAAAAAUUGAAUGAGCAAACUUCUUUCUUGAUUAGUUACUUGUUUUGCCUUAAAGACGUUCCCCACCUAUGUCACGUGUUUUAUUUUUGUAUGAAUUUCAUAUUCCCUGGAAUAUGAGAAUAAACUGUCCUGAUAGACCAGUGGACCAACACAUUUCCAUUGUAUUUUAGAAAAUAUAUGUGAAUUUGCAUAUAUUUUCUAAAUUUAUGUCUUUUCUUAUCCAUGCUCCUCCAUAGAUAAAUAGUAGGCUCAACAAAAAUGAAUGUUCACUUGUGUUCAAAUUUCUAGGAAGUGUGCUUCACGCUUCUCUUUCUGCAAUAUGUUUCAGAGUAUAUAUUUUAAUUUUCCUACUUUCCCUGUUACAGUACUGUGUAUGUCAUUCUUAGCUUUGCUUUUGGAAGCAUAUAUGAGCUUUAAUUACCAUAAUAGUCUAGAAAUGCUAACUUGAAAUUGAACAAGCAACAAUCCAGUUAUUGUGCUUUCUUUCCCUCAUAAACUUGCUGACGAUAUGGGUGAAGAUUGCAGAUUUCUUAUGGAAUAAAAAGGUAAAUAUGAUGGUUUGAGAAUUGUUGGUCAAGAAUGAAUAAGAGAAAGGCAUCACAGUCAAGUUCGGAGAAGAAAAAAGAUACAAAGACAAAGAUAGAUCAGUAUUCUGCUCUGAAGCUAAACCUUUUUGUGGAAUCCAUGUUACUUCGUAUUAUGGAAGUAUGACUUGGUCAUAUAUAUUACAUUAAUGUUGUCAAGUUGUUGUUCAGCAAUAGGCAUAAUGUCCUAUCAAGUUACUUGAUUUUGUAUUAUGUAAGUACGACUUAGUCAUAUAUAUAUAUAUAUUUACAUUAUUGUUGUCAA